GGGCCGUGUGGUCAGCGCAAAGCGAACUAUUCUUUCGCCUUUUACUAAAGAAUACCGUGUGCCGGCCACAUAACAGCGGCAUAUCAAAAUUUUUGGAACGCCUCUUCACGGAGGCAC
rnacentral:snRNA from 1 species